rnacentral:pre_miRNA from 1 species
CCCUAAAAUAUUAAAAGUUUCGUUUUGGUCCCUUAACUUAUUUUUUGGUUUCGUUUUGGUCCCUUAACUCUUCCUCCGUCAACCACUUUGGUCCUUUAUGUUAGGAUGAAUGUAUUAGAGUUAAGGACCAAAACGAAAUCAAAAAAUAAGUUAAGUGACCAAAACGAAACCAAAAAAUAAGUUAAGGGACCAAAACAAAACCAAAAAAUAAAUUAAGGGACCAAAACGAAACUUUUAAUAGUUAAGGGA